CCUACGGGAGGCAGCAGUGGGGAAUUUUGGACAAUGGGCGCAAGCCUGAUCCAGCAAUGCCGCGUGAGUGAAGAAGGCCUUCGGGUUGUAAAGCUCUUUUGUCAGGGAAGAAACGGCCGAGGCUAAUACCUUUGGCUAAUGACGGUACCUGAAGAAUAAGCACCGGCUAACUACGUGCCAGCAGCCGCGGUAAUACGUAGGGUGCAAGCGUUAAUCGGAAUUACUGGGCGUAAAGCGUGCGCAGGCGGUUUUGUAAGUCUGACGUGAAAUCCCCGGGCUCAACCUGGGAAUUGCGUUGGAGACUGCAAGGCUGGAGUCUGGCAGAGGGGGGUAGAAUUCCACGUGUAGCAGUGAAAUGCGUAGAGAUGUGGAGGAACACCGAUGGCGAAGGCAGCCCCCUGGGUCAAGACUGACGCUCAUGCACGAAAGCGUGGGGAGCAAACAGGAUUAGAUACCCUGGUAGUCCACGCCCUAAACGAUGUCUACUAGUUGUCGGGUCUUAAUUGACUUGGUAACGCAGCUAACGCGUGAAGUAGACCGCCUGGGGAGUACGGUCGCAAGNUUAAAACUUAAAUGAAUUGACGGNUGAGAGNGCGAGACGACGACGAGGGAGGAGG
rnacentral:rRNA from 1 species